UAAAAAUAAAAGAUUUUGGGU
rnacentral:piRNA from 1 species